rnacentral:rRNA from 1 species
ACUCCUGCGGGAGGCAGCAGUGGGGAAUUUUGGACAAUGGGCGAAAGCCUGAUCCAGCAAUGCCGCGUGAGUGAAGAAGGCCUUCGGGUUGUAAAGCUCUUUUGUCAGGGAAGAAACGGUGAGAGCUAAUAUCUCUUGCUAAUGACGGUACCUGAAGAAUAAGCACCGGCUAACUACGUGCCAGCAGCCGCGGUAAUACGUAGGGUGCAAGCGUUAAUCGGAAUUACUGGGCGUAAAGCGUGCGCAGGCGGUUUUGUAAGUCUGAUGUGAAAUCCCCGGGCUCAACCUGGGAAUUGCAUUGGAGACUGGAAGGCUAGAAUCUGGCAGAGGGGGGUAGAAUUCCACGUGUAGCAGUGAAAUGCGUAGAUAUGUGGAGGAACACCGAUGGCGAAGGCAGCCCCCUGGGUCAAGAUUGACGCUCAUGCACGAAAGCGUGGGGAGCAAACAGGAUUAGAAACCUGAGUAGUCCCAUGA